AUGUGGACAGUAUGGGAGUGAGAAUGUUGGCAUGAGUAGCGAGAUGUGGGUGAGAAUCCCACAGGCCGUAAACCCAAGGUUUCCAGGGGAAGGUUCGUCCGCCCUGGGUUAGUCGGGACCUAAGCUGAGGCCGAAAGGCGUAGGUGAUGGACAACAGGUUGAUAUUCCUGUACUACCGAUAACCGUUUGAGAGAGGGGAUGACACAGUAGGAUAAGCUAAGCACAC
rnacentral:rRNA from 1 species